GACGAACGCUGGCGGCGUGGAUUAGGCAUGCAAGUCGAACGGUAUCAUCCUUUCGGGGGUGAGAGAGUGGCGAACUGGUGAGUAACACGUAGGUUAUCUACCCUCAAGACGGGGACAACCCAGGGAAACUUGGGCUAAUACCGGAUGUGAGCAACUUUUAGUUGUUUGAAAGGUGGCGUAAGCUGUCGCUUGGGGAUGAGCCUGCGUCCUAUUAGUUAGUUGGUGAGGUAACGGCUCACCUAGGCAAUGAUAGGUAGGCGGCCUUAACGGGUGGUCGCCCACACUGGGAUUGAGAUACGGCCCAGACUCCUACGGGAGGCAGCAGUCGAGAAUAGUCUACAAUGGUCGGAAGACUGAUAGUGCGACGCCGCGUGAACGAUGAAUCCCUUCGGGGUGUAAAGUUCUUUUAUAUGUGAGCAGUGCUUCUUAUAUUAACGUAAUGGGGAAGAGAUAUUAGCAAUAUGAAAUAAGCAAACGGCUAAACUCCGUGCCAGCCAGCCGCGGU
rnacentral:rRNA from 1 species